rnacentral:lncRNA from 1 species
AUUUACUACAAAUAUAGAUGUCCUACAGAUGGAAAAAUCAAUAUGGCUCCAAAAUCAAAAACUUUUUAUAAAAAAAACCAAAUUAGUAAAUGAAACAGAUCGUGAAAGGCGAAAAGAACCGACUCAAGAAAGAUUUAUUAAUGAUUUCCGAAAUUCUCGUAUCUUUGAUUUAUCCAGAAAUUUUGUACCUAAAAAUGAACAACAAAACUUUAUACAAGCUAAUUUCAGAGCACAGUCAACGAAGCCUAAAGGUUCAAUUAAUAACAUUAAAAACCAUGGAAAAUUUCCAGGUUCCAUAACCAAGUUGAAAAAAUCUGCAAAUAGUGAGAACCAUUUGUACUUAAAUAUGCUUGAAGGACAAUUACCAGGUAAUUCAUGUCCUUAUAAAUUGAUACUUAUGAAAUUGUAUAUUUAAACUUGAUUAAUUAGCGCUUAGCAUGAAAAUAAAGAUGCCCUUCCGAGAGAAUACGGCUUUAUUACUAAAUCAUUACAAAGUAAAAAUAUCUAGAAUUAUUACUGAUACCACGACAAAGGAUGCUCUUCAAAUUACGGUCGAACUUAUUAAUAAAGGACUUGCAGCGAAAGAAUUUUUCAUAAAUAUUGGCAACUGUCAACAAUCAUAUGGGACAUUAAGACCAAUAGGUGUUAAGAAAAUACUAUAUCCAUAUGUUGGAGAAUCUGUAACGCUUAUGUUGCCUUUAAUAAUUGGUUUAAAGAAAAAAAUUAAAUUUAGUUGCGACGGUAAGCUGUAUAUAAUUCAGAAGAAACAUUUGAGACCAAUUACUUACCCCGUUAUUUGCAUUUUCAUUUUUAUUACAUAAUAUAUUAUCAUAAAAUCUCAUUAAUUUAUGAAGCAUUUUUGAAACCCCAAUUUUAAAUAUAUUUUCGUGCUAUGUUCGUUGUCUGAAUCCAUUCAUAAUUUUUUUUUUAGUUUCGCACUAUUUUCCGGUUGAAGUGUGAAGAGAGAGUUUAAUAGGCAAAUGUAUUAUCUAUACUAGUUCAUAUAAACAUGUUGUUUUCCAGUUGUUGUAAAGACCAGUAUGAUGAGGAUCGCUGCGGAAGCCGGGUCAAAAAUCAUGAAACAGCCUAAUGCAAAUAUGGCCAGUGUAGCAAAGAGGAC